rnacentral:rRNA from 1 species
GAUGAACGCUGGCGGCGUGCCUAAUACAUGCAAGUCGAGCGAACAGACGAGGAGCUUGCUCCUCUGACGUUAGCGGCGGACGGGUGAGUAACACGUGGAUAACCUACCUAUAAGUCUGGGAUAACUUCGGGAAACCGGAGCUAAUACCGGAUAAUAUAUUGAACCGCAUGGUUCAAUAGUGAAAGACGGUUUUGCUGUCACUUAUAGAUGGAUCCGCGCCGCAUUAGCUAGUUGGUAAGGUAACGGCUUACCAAGGCAACGAUGCGUAGCCGACCUGAGAGGGGGAUAGGCCACACUGGAACUGAGACACGGUCCAGACGCCUACGGGAGGAAGCAGUAGGGAAUCUUCCGCAAUGGGCGAAAGCCUGACGGAGCAACGCCGCGUGAGUGAUGAAGGGCUUCGGAUCGUAAAACUCUGUUAUUAGGGAAGAACAAAUGUGUAAGUAACUGUGCACGUCUUGACGGUACCUAAUCAGAAAGCCACGGCUAACUACGUG